GGGGGGAGUCUGGAUCCUGUGCUGUGCCCCGGUGCCCUGUGCUCUGGGGCUUGCAUUGUUGAAUUCACACUCCAGGCCGCACAGCUGCCU
rnacentral:pre_miRNA from 1 species